ACUUAGUGGCAGACGGGUGAGUAACAUGUAGGUAUCUGCCCUUUGGCCUGGAAUAACACGAGGAAACUUGUGCUAAUACCGGAUAAGUCUUUACGGAGAAAGCUUUAUGCACCAUUGGAUGAGCCUGCACUUGAUUAGUUUGUUGGUGGGGUAAUGGCCUACCAAGACUGUGAUCAAUAGCUGAUUUGAGAGGAUGAUCAGCCACAUUGGGACUGAGACACGGCCCAAACUCCUACGGGAGGCAGCAGUGGGGAAUCUUGCACAAUGGAGGAAACUCUGAUGCAGCGAUGCCGCGUGAGUGAAGAAGGCCUUUGGGUUGUAAAGCUCUUUCGUCGGGGAAGAAAAUGACUGUACCCGAAUAAGAAGGUCCGGCUAACUUCGUGCCAGCAGCCGCGGUAAUACGAAGGGACCUAGCGUAGUUCGGAAUUACUGGGCUUAAAGAGUUCGUAGGUGGUUGAAAAAGUUAGUGGUGAAAUCCCAGAGCUUAACUCUGGAACUGCCAUUAAAACUUUUCAGCUAGAGUAUGAUA
rnacentral:rRNA from 1 species